GAUGAACGCUGGCGGCGUGCCUAACACAUGCAAGUCGAACGGAGAUUACGGACGGAAGUUUUCGGAUGGAAGCCUGUAAUUCUUAGUGGCGGACGGGUGAGUAACGCGUGGGCAACCUGCCCUAUACAGGGGGAUAGCAGCUGGAAACGGCUGGUAAGACCGCAUAAGUCGGUUAAAUCGCAUGAUUUGAUCGGGAAAUGAGCAAUCAGGUAUAGGAUGGGCCCGCGUCCGAUUAGCCAGUUGGCAGGGUAAAAGCCUACCAAAGCGACGAUCGGUAGCCGGACUGAGAGGUCGGACGGCCACAUUGGGACUGAGACACGGCCCAAACUCCUACGGGAGGCAGCAGUGGGGGAUAUUACACAAUGGAGGAAACUCUGAUGCAGCGACGCCGCGUGAGUGAAGAAGUAUUUCGGUAUGUAAAGCUCUAUCAGCAGGGAAGAUGAUGACGGUACCUGACUAAGAAGCCCCGGCUAACUACGUG
rnacentral:rRNA from 1 species